rnacentral:rRNA from 1 species
UACGGAGGGUGCAAGCGUUGCUCGGAAUCACUGGGCGUAAAGAGCGUGUAGGCGGUUCUGUAUGUCUGGCGUGAAAGCCCCGGGCUCACCCUGGGAAGUGCGUCGGAAACUGCAGAACUAGAGUCCCGGAGAGGAAGGUGGAAUUCCAGGUGUAGCGGUGAAAUGCGUAGAUAUCUGGAAGAACACCGGUGGCGAAAGCGGCCUUCUGGACGGUGACUGACGCUGAGACGCGAAAGCGUGGGGAGCAAACAGG